rnacentral:rRNA from 1 species
ACGGGUGAGUAACACGUGGGUAACCUGCCCAUCAGAGGGGGAUAACAUUCGGAAACGGAUGCUAAAACCGCAUAGGUUCUUGAGUCGCAUGACUCAGGAAGGAAAAGAGGCUUCGGCUCCUGCUGAUGGAUGGACCCGCGGUGCAUUAGCUAGUUGGUGAGGUAACGGCUCACCAAGGCCGUGAUGCAUAGCCGACCUGAGAGGGUGAUCGGCCACAUUGGGACUGAGACACGGCCCAAACUCCUACGGGAGGCAGCAGUAGGGAAUCUUCCGCAAUGGACGCAAGUCUGACGGAGCAACGCCGCGUGAGUGAAGAAGGAUUUCGGUUCGUAAAACUCUGUUGUUAGAGAAGAACAGCGCAUAGAGUAACUGUUAUGCGUGUGACGGUAUCUAACCAGAAAGCCACGGCUAACUACGUGCCAGCAGCCGCGGUAAUACGUAGGUGGCAAGCGUUGUCCGGAAUUAUUGGGCGUAAAGCGCGCGCAGGUGGUUUAAUAAGUCUGAUGUGAAAGCCCACGGCUCAACCGUGGAGGGUCAUUGGAAACUGUUAAACUUGAGUGCAGGAGAGAAAAGUGGAAUUCCUAGUGUAGCGGUGAAAUGCGUAGAGAUUAGGAGGAACACCAGUGGCGAAGGCGGCUUUUUGGCCUGUAACUGACACUG